UGUUGCUCAUUUUCUGCGUUUUAGUCGUGGCCAUCGUGGUGCUUCGGAGGAAGAGGAAACUCCGGAAAACUCUUUGGAAGAGUAACAACCCACAUAUCAGACGAGAUGCGCUGGAUGCGGACUACUUCAACUUUUUAAAUACAGGAUCCAGCACUGGAUGGGUACCAGGGAGAAGUGGACUAUAUGAGUUGGAUGACAGCAUCAAUCUUGCAAAUGAAUUCUCCCCUGUGUUCAGCCCCAGUCUGGAGUGUGUAGACUCAUCCUUAAAUGUGAAAAUCAAAAGACCAGAACUUUUGUCAUCCUUUCCUGAUGGGUAAUUCGACUGCAUCAUUUUACCUAGCUUAGUAAAAUCAAAUAUAACAAAAUGCUUUAAUCAUGGCAUGUUCAUGUUUAAACUUUAUUUUU